GGCGCUAUAGUGUAGUGGCUAUCACAGCGGAUUCUGAUCUUACCAAAAUAGGAGAUGACUUUCCGCUAACCCAGGUUCGAACCCUGGUAGCGCCU